rnacentral:misc_RNA from 1 species
UUGGUGCUCUUGUUUGCACUGCUACUGUUGCUAGGAAGCUUGUGGACGAGAAGGGUAAUUCUUUUCAAGAUGAAAAGAACUUAUUUCACCACCGCCCUAGACUUGGUGGUGGAGGUGGUGGCGGGUUUGGAGGUGGAGGUGGUGGUGGGUUAGGUGGUGGUGCUGGAGGUGGAGCAGGAUUUGGUGGUGGUGCUGGGGGUGGAGUUGGUGGUGGACUUGGAGGAGGUGCUGGUGGUGGUGGAGGGUUUGGAGGUGGGGGUGGUGGAGGAGUGGGUGGUGGAGGUGCUGGUUUUGGAGGGGGAGCUGGGUUUGGUGGCGGAGCUGGUGCU